rnacentral:rRNA from 1 species
GGUGCGUGGUAAGACUCCCAGUCGAGUGUCCCUAGUUAUGUCGAGACGAGGCAGAUGGCUCAGUAACAUGUGGAUAACCUACCUUCAGGCAGAGGAUAAACUCGGGACCAUGGGGAUAAUACUCGAUAGUCGAGGAUGUCUGGAAUGACUUCUCAUUCUAAUCGCAUUGGAUACACGCUUUCUAUGUCGCCUGGGUAUGGGGUGCGUCCGAUCCAGCUGUUGGUGAGGUAACUCCUCACCAAAUCUAUAACCGUCACGCGCAGUGAGAGCGGUAGCCCGGAGUCUGGUACUGAGACAAGGUACAGGCCUCACGGGGUGCAGCAGUCGAGAAAACUCCGCAAUGCAGGAAAGUGCGAGGCGGGUACCCGGAGUUCCAUCCGCAGAGAUCAUCUUCUCCACUGUAUAGCUAGCCAUGGGAAUAAGGAGAGGCCACGAUCGGUCUCACCUGUUGUUGUCAUGCCAGCUUUGAGAGUGGUAGGGAUGAUUUCAUGGGAUAAAGCUUCAGUAACCCCCUUAGCAAGUCUCCUGUUAAAUUCAGCGACCUAAUGGUUGACCCGCGGGAGAUAGGACUAGGGUAGGAGGCGGGAGAUCCGACGGCCUUCUCGGUAGGGGUGAAAUCCAAUAAUCCCGGGAGGCCCACCAGUGGCGAAGGCUGUAUCGUAGACAGCCCUAGCCGGUGAGGGAUGCCAGACGGGGGAGGGAACCGGAUUAGAUACCCGGGUAGUCCCAACAAUAAACGAUGCGAGGUAGGUGUUCGAAUGGUUGCGGUCCAUCUCAGUGCAGCAGGGAAGCCAUUAAGCUCGCCGCCUGGGGAGUACGGCCGCAAGGCAAAACUUAAAGGAAUUGGCGCGGGAGCUACACAAGGUCGAAGCCAGCGGUUCAAUCGAGUUCACCCC